rnacentral:rRNA from 1 species
AUUGAACGCUGGCGGCAGGCCUAACACAUGCAAGUCGAGCGGAUGAAGGGAGCUUGCUCCUGGAUUCAGCGGCGGACGGGUGAGUAAUGCCUAGGAAUCUGCCUGGUAGUGGGGGAUAACGUCCGGAAACGGGCGCUAAUACCGCAUACGUCCUGAGGGAGAAAGUGGGGGAUCUUCGGACCUCACGCUAUCAGAUGAGCCUAGGUCGGAUUAGCUAGUUGGUGGGGAAAAGGCCUACCAAGGCGACGAUCCGUAACUGGUCUGAGAGGAUGAUCAGUCACACUGGAACUGAGACACGGUCCAGACUCCUACGGGAGGCAGCAGUGGGGAAUAUUGGACGAUGGGCGAAAGCCUGAUCCAGCCAUGCCGCGUGUGUGAAGAAGGUCUUCGGAUUGUAAAGCACUUUAAGUUGGGAGGAAGGGCAGUAAGUUAAUACCUUGCUGUUUUGACGUUACCAACAGAAUAAGCACCGGCUAACUUCGUG